rnacentral:rRNA from 1 species
AUUGAACGCUGGCGGCAGGCCUAACACAUGCAGGUCGAACGGUAACAGGAAGAAGCUUGCUUCUUUGCUGACGAGUGGCGGACGGGUGAGUAAUGUCUGGGAAACUGCCUGAUGGAGGGGGAUAACUACUGGAAACGGUAGCUAAUACCGCAUAACGUCGCAAGACCAAAAAGGGGGACCUUCGGGCCUCUUGCCAUCGGAUGUGCCCAGAUGGGAUUAGCUAGUAGGUGGGGUAACGGCUCACCUAGGCGACGAUCCCUAGCUGGUCUGAGAGGAUGACCAGCCACACUGGAACUGAGACACGGUCCAGACUCCUACGGGAGGCAGCAGUGGGGAAUAUUGCACAAAGGGCGCAAGCCUGAUGCAGCCAUGCCGCGUGUAUGAAGAAGGCCUUCGGGUUGUAAAGUACUUUCAGCGGGGAGGAAGGGAGUAAAGUUAAUACCUUUGCUCAUUGACGUUACCCGCAGAAGAAGCACCGGCUAACUCCGUG